rnacentral:lncRNA from 1 species
UCUUUCUCGCUCUACAGUCGCUACACCAUUCAACCAGUCGAACUUUGGACUUUGUUGGUGUAAGAUGUGCAACGGUUGGGUAGUUCAAUUGCUUUAUCUAUGUUACUUUAGUGAACUUACUUGACGUAAUUAAAGCCUGAGUGUUUACGGGUUUGUCAAAGUUUAGAAUUUCAGUCAUAACAUAAUUUUUCAGUGUUUCAUACUAUACGUCCGAUACAUUACAAUUGAUGUUAAACAUUAUGGACCUUGGUGGUAGUUAAUUAGAAUUGACAAAAUAAACAAGACCCGAUGUAAAAGAAUACUGUGGGAUUUGGACAUAAAACUGUUUUCAUGUGUUCGUCUCGUCACCCCAUCUAGCGGGUGCUCACAGAAGAAAGGUGAUCGAAAGCCUGGAAAAGUACCCGGUCGACGAGUCAACAUCGUCAGCAAAAGCGAGCCUGCAGGAACUCGUUCCAGCUUUCCUAGAACGUACUGCUUUAAGGAUCCAUCGCACAAUUCCAUAACAAGAAACCUGCCGCGGAGCAUGAACAAAUUACAUCCAAUAAACAUGAAAGUUACAGUAGUUAGUAUGAGAUAUUACUUUUUGCCAUCCUUUUCUACGACUUCUAGGUACUUGGUGACGAAUAAAUGGUUCAGCUGCGAAAGGGUACGGAUUUCACGUUCAAAUACUUUGCCUGCGUCGUCUACCCGGAAUGACGCUUUUUUGCAGGCGGCCAGAACUCGUAUUCCGUCUUUGUUGGGAUGGCGUCCAAGUUGGUGGAAACAUGCCAAAUGUAUUGCGAAAGUAAUUGAGGUGUUCUUUUGAACGCCUCAGUUAACGAAGUUUCCAUGUCUCUAUUUUCAGAAAAGAGCUAACAAAAGAAUUAAUAUGUUAAUAGAGCAAUCAGAAACAUCUAAACUUACAAUUCUCUCUAGAUCGCUGAAAUUUUCAUUUGGGAGCCGGCCAUUACCUAAAGAUUUCUUCCACGUUAAAAGGUUUCCUCUAAUUUUUAACCUUUGCACAAUUUCCUCGUUAGCCUGCUCUUUAAUUAGUCUUGGUAACGCAAAUUGGCAAUAACGGAUAAAAAAUGGAUGUCGCAGCAAUGUGCCGGCUUCAAAAUCAAAUUCCAGGUGGCGAGAGCUCCGUUUGGUCUGAUCUCCUUUUUAGUUGCAGCGGAAAUGUACAAGAAGCCGAGUUUGGAGAAAUCCGUCUUGACGUUAUUCUUUGGAAGAGUAUCCAGUUGCAAAAGGAAAAUAUUUACUUAACUUGAGACUUGAAAGAUAAUGCAUUUUCCUACCCCAGACUGGAGAAUGUUGUAUCCAUAGCCGGAUAACUUGGCAACAACCCGCCGGGGUUCAGAAUUGAUUGUUUUGAAGAGCACACUUUCCAGUUUCAAAUCUCCGUGCCCAAUUUUUUGGCGAUCAAGGUACUCAACAGCGCAGGUAAUUUGCCACAUAAUGUCGAUAACUUUUACGAUUGACGCAACUGCGCUGUCUAAUGUCCCCCGACAGUAGUCGAGCAUUGAUCCCUGACACAACUCCAUCGCAAGAAAAAGAAACCAAAGUUUUCAAUUACCUGCCAUCAUCUUGUAGCGUAAAACUGCGAUACUGGACCAGAUUAUCAUCACGAUUAAACGGAAUUAUUUUUAUAGCGGCUCUCUCACCUUUAUCCCAACCGGAAAUAAUUCGGUUGCUGUUGGCGCUGGUAAAAAAACUAGUCGAACGGCGGUUGAAUGGACUCGGAGGAGGUUGACUUUUUUUUCUGAAGAAUGCCAUCUUGAAUGAAGUUUACAUUAAAACUUGGAAUUGAACGCAGUCCGCUCGCCUUGAGGGACUGUAAGACAAUCGAAUUUUUGAACACUUCACAGCGUCUUAAAAGCCCCGGUGUGGACCUUUAUCUUUGGCAAACACGAUCAAUAGGUUAGGUUUUAUGAUGUAGCGUAAAUAAUACGACACCUACGUGUAUAUUUAUUUGUUUUUCAUUCGAAAAUAAGGUGGAAAGAUAAAGCAAAUUUGACGUAAGUUUUAUAUUUAAAAUUGGGAACCGUUUGUAAACUUUGCCUUGCUGAUAAAAGCUAAAGGUUUCACGAUCAUUUUGCGGGAAAAUUUCUACGCGAGUUACAUUUAUUUUCCAAGAAGCUGGAAACUGAAAAACCUACGUGCUACACAAACUGUCCCAAAUUGACGGAUUUGAUUGUUAUUGGUUUAGUGAACGGCACUACCGAUCGAGAUGUCAGCGUCUGUAACGUAUCGAAUUAUUGUAUAGAUGUUUUCAUGCAGUUGUUGAUUUAGUCGUAUGUUGACUCCAUCGCGAAGACGUUUGAUCCGUGCUUGUAUAAGCAACAAGUAAGAAAACCAUGGAAACGGCUGGAUGGGGUGUUCGGGAGAAGGCGGAGAUAAUGGCGCAUCGGGAGGUGGCGGGAAUUGGGAAUGCGAAGAGAUAACAAGUCUGUUUUUAUUAGCUGUCACACUUUGUUGGUUUAGAGUAUUGUGAUAUUAUAGCCAAGGUGUUACUGUUUUGCACUGUAACGUCAUUACUCCGGCUUUGAUUCCUGCCAACUAAAUUUUUUAUUUAAUUCAGUCGAGUUGAGACCCAAUUGUUUUUCGAUGGCGAGGAAGUAAUGGGCAUUCUGGACUCAAUUCAGAUUUCAUACAAUAUGGUUAGGAGAACUAUGGAAAACGGAAUUGUUAUAUAUUUUCGAACAACGGAAGCAAAUAAAUCAGAAAUGUUUUUGUUUUAUUAGGUUUAGCAUUACGUUUAUUCGAAGAAGAAAGUUAUAUAUCAAUAAAUCUCCAGCUUUUUAGCAGAACUAGGAAAAGGUUUAAUCUCUUCAUUUCUGAUUGCUUUGUACAAGGGCGUUCGCUGUUGAGCAUAAAUGGCAUUCACGUCAGCUCCAAAUUCGAGUAACAUUCUUGUGAGUUGAGGUCUGAAAUCCCGAAUUCGCAAGCGCCAAAUGCAAUGGCGUGAUUCUAUAAUUGUCCACCUGUUUAAUCGCCUCGAGCGAUUGCCUUUAUUGUUUCGACAGUUCCAAGAAACAGCGAGGUUUACAGAAAAAGAACUUGUCAACUGGGGGAAGAGUGAAAAAAAAUCAAAAUGGCCGCUUUCUUUCUCGCUCUACAGUCGCUACACCAUUCAACCAGUCGAACUUUGGACUUUGUUGGUGUAAGAUGUGCAACGGUUGGGUAGUUCAAUUGCUUUAUCUAUGUUACUUUAGUGAACUUACUUGACGUAAUUAAAGCCUGAGUGUUUACGGGUUUGUCAAAGUUUAGAAUUUCAGUCAUAACAUAAUUUUUCAGUGUUUCAUACUAUACGUCCGAUACAUUACAAUUGAUGUUAAACAUUAUGGACCUUGGUGGUAGUUAAUUAGAAUUGACAAAAUAAACAAGACCCGAUGUAAAAGAAUACUGUGGGAUUUGGACAUAAAACUGUUUUCAUGUGUUCGUCUCGUCACCCCAUCUAGCGGGUGCUCACAGAAGAAAGGUGAUCGAAAGCCUGGAAAAGUACCCGGUCGACGAGUCAACAUCGUCAGCAAAAGCGAGCCUGCAGGAACUCGUUCCAGCUUUCCUAGAACGUACUGCUUUAAGGAUCCAUCGCACAAUUCCAUAACAAGAAACCUGCCGCGGAGCAUGAACAAAUUACAUCCAAUAAACAUGAAAGUUACAGUAGUUAGUAUGAGAUAUUACUUUUUGCCAUCCUUUUCUACGACUUCUAGGUACUUGGUGACGAAUAAAUGGUUCAGCUGCGAAAGGGUACGGAUUUCACGUUCAAAUACUUUGCCUGCGUCGUCUACCCGGAAUGACGCUUUUUUGCAGGCGGCCAGAACUCGUAUUCCGUCUUUGUUGGGAUGGCGUCCAAGUUGGUGGAAACAUGCCAAAUGUAUUGCGAAAGUAAUUGAGGUGUUCUUUUGAACGCCUCAGUUAACGAAGUUUCCAUGUCUCUAUUUUCAGAAAAGAGCUAACAAAAGAAUUAAUAUGUUAAUAGAGCAAUCAGAAACAUCUAAACUUACAAUUCUCUCUAGAUCGCUGAAAUUUUCAUUUGGGAGCCGGCCAUUACCUAAAGAUUUCUUCCACGUUAAAAGGUUUCCUCUAAUUUUUAACCUUUGCACAAUUUCCUCGUUAGCCUGCUCUUUAAUUAGUCUUGGUAACGCAAAUUGGCAAUAACGGAUAAAAAAUGGAUGUCGCAGCAAUGUGCCGGCUUCAAAAUCAAAUUCCAGGUGGCGAGAGCUCCGUUUGGUCUGAUCUCCUUUUUAGUUGCAGCGGAAAUGUACAAGAAGCCGAGUUUGGAGAAAUCCGUCUUGACGUUAUUCUUUGGAAGAGUAUCCAGUUGCAAAAGGAAAAUAUUUACUUAACUUGAGACUUGAAAGAUAAUGCAUUUUCCUACCCCAGACUGGAGAAUGUUGUAUCCAUAGCCGGAUAACUUGGCAACAACCCGCCGGGGUUCAGAAUUGAUUGUUUUGAAGAGCACACUUUCCAGUUUCAAAUCUCCGUGCCCAAUUUUUUGGCGAUCAAGGUACUCAACAGCGCAGGUAAUUUGCCACAUAAUGUCGAUAACUUUUACGAUUGACGCAACUGCGCUGUCUAAUGUCCCCCGACAGUAGUCGAGCAUUGAUCCCUGACACAACUCCAUCGCAAGAAAAAGAAACCAAAGUUUUCAAUUACCUGCCAUCAUCUUGUAGCGUAAAACUGCGAUACUGGACCAGAUUAUCAUCACGUAACUUGAUUAGAUUUUCCCAAUAGCGCUCGAUUUGUUCAUCCCCAAUCUCGCCCGGUUUAAACGGAAUUAUUUUUAAAGCGACUCUCUCACCUUUAUCCCAACCGAGAAUAAUUCGGUUGCUGUUGGCGCUGGCCAGAACACCAGCCGGAGGGCGGUUGAAUGUACUCCAAGGAGGAUAAUUUCUGAAUGCCAUCUUGAAUGAAGUUUACAUUAAAACUUGGAAUUGAACGCAGUCCGCUUGGGUUGAGCGACUGUAACACAAUCGAAUUUUUGGACACUUCACAGCGUCUUAAAAGCCCCGGUUUGGACCUUUAUCUUUAGCAAACACGAUCAAUAGGCUAGGUUUUAUUAUGUAGCGUAAAUAAUACGACACCUACGUGUAUAUUUAUUUGUUUUUCGUUCGAAAAUAAGGUGGAAAGAUAAAGCAAAUUUGACGUCAGUUUUAUAUUUAAAAUUUGAAAUCGUUUGUAAACUUUGCCUUGCUGAUAAAAGCUAAAGGUUUCACGAUCAUUUUGCGAGAUAAUUUCUACGCGUGUCACUUUCGUUUUCCAAAGAGCUGGAAACUGGAGAUCUUGACAUCCUAUUUUAUUCCAACAAUGUCCGGCUUUUGAUUUUUGACCUACCUUUAAUCGUUCUCCAUUUUUUAUUGCAUUUUCAGAAUAGUAAUUAAUAGCUUUGUAGGAAACCAAGCUCUGAAUUCAUUUGAUCUUUUUUAUGUAAUACCUUGAUCUAUCACGGGGAUUUAGCGUAACUAUCAGUAACAAAGCUUGGUGUUUCGACAUUUUGUUUCUUAUUUUCAAAAUGGGUUUCAAAAUGUAAAGUGAAUUGUGGACGAUUAGCACGUGUGAUAAACCAUCGAGCAGACGAAGGUCAAAAGCGGGUCAAAAGGAGGUUUUUUUUUUUUUUUUAUGAGAUGGAAAUAGGAAAAUGUAUUUUAAAUAUUAUGAACCAUGUUAAAAACUUGUCAACCCAUCGAUAGAAACGGUGAUUAUUUAAUUCUCUAUUGAACUGGUGAUUGGAUUUUUCGUCGACGUGGAGCUCAGCCCGAUGGCCCGUAACGUGAAACUCGUUUUGUAAAGAGAUCCGUCCGUCUCGACGUCCAAUUGUAGUGUAUUGCUGUUGGCAGCGUUCAUUCGGCUCCGGACACUUGCGAGCGCCAUCCAGCGGAAUAAAAGAAUCCUGGGCUUCGCUCAUCAUUGCCGGCCAAUUACCCGAUCCGAACUGAAUUGAAGAUUUUAUCUGGCGGACGCUAUUCAUAUUGGGCCCCGCUUGAAAAUAUUUCAUUCCGGCUGGUCAGUGUGUUGACUCGUUCCACGAACUCCGGCUGCUGGUCGGGAUGCCCCAUUACUACCCCAAGAUGAAUCGUUACUCUGCAACUGACCAACGGGUUUGGCGAUGAUCGGUCGCUGGAGUCUGAUGUUCCGGAUGAUCCGCUGUGACUGCAGAUUCCGCAGUAAAAUCUCAUCCAAUGACAGCCAGCGAGAUCUGCUGGCCGCACUUCGCUGCAUGGACGUCAAACUGGAACGGCUAUUGUACUGCGAAGCCAGCAUCGUUAGCAAGGUCACUGAAAUUUUCAUUUGGGAGCUGGCCGUCACCCAAAGAUUUCCUCCAUUUUUCCAAGUUGUGGUUAUUGUUCAAUCCACUUCUAAUAUCCUCAUUCGUCUGCUCUUUGAUUAGCCUUGCUAACGCAAAUUGGCAGUAACGAAUAAAAAACGGGUGGCGCAGUAAUGUGCCAGCUGCAAAAUCAAAUUCCAAGUGGCGAGAGCUCCGCUUGGUCUGAUCUCCUUUUUAGUUGCAGCGGAAAUGUACAAGAAGCCGAGUUUGGAGAAAUCAGUCUUGACGUUAUUCUUUGGAAGAUUAUCCAGUUGCAAAAGGAAAAUAUUUACUUAACUUGAGACUUGAAAGAUAAUGCAUUUUCCUACCCCAGACUGGAGAAUGUUGUAUCCAUAGCCGGAUAACUUGGCAACAACCCGCCGGGGUUCAGAAUCGAUUGUUUUGAAGAGCACACUUUCCAGUUUCAAAUCUCCGUGCCCAAUUUUUUGGCGAUCAAGGUACUCAACAGCGCAGUAGUCGAGCAUUGAUCCCUGACACAACUCCAUCGCAAG